rnacentral:rRNA from 1 species
GACGAACGCUGGCGGCGUGCCUAAUACAUGCAAGUCGAACGCAGUGGGGACGGGUGAGUAACACGUGGGUAACCUCCCAUCAGAGGGGAUAACACUUGGAAACAGGUGCUAAACCGAUACUGAUGGAUGGACCUGCGGUGCAGUAGCUUGGUGGUGAGGUAACGGCUCACCAAGGCCACGAAGCAUAGCCGACCGGAGAGGGUGAUCGCGCAACUUGGGACUGAGACACGGCCCAGACUCCUACGGGAGGCAGCAGUAGGGAAUCUUCGGCAAUGGACGAAAGUCUGACCGAGCAACGCCGCGGGAGUGAAGAAGGUUUUCGGAUCGUAAAACUCUGUUGUUAGAGAAGCGUUAUCUAACCAGAAAGCCACGGCUAACUCCGUGCCAGCAGCCGCGGUAAUUC